GCAGUUUUAUCGCUUUUAUUGCAUAACAACCAUUAAUGAAGUGCAGUUUCAGGCACCUUAAUUGCUCGGAGACUAAAGUUCAAUCCUCGCUGCGCGCGGGCUGGAAGAUGCCAUGUGUCACGCGAGUGCCCGGCAGCCAGGAAACGAAGCGGAUUUACGGUGACUCUCCAGCCGCGGGAGCAGAGGGCCCCGGUUGCAGGGGAGAAGCGGCGCCGGCCGGCAGCAGCAGGCAGGGUCCCGCGGGGCCCCAUGCGGGCUUGCGGCAGCGCACGCGUGUGCACAGCACGCGCCCAUCCACGCAGCGCCCAACGUGCCCGGGAACACACCCACAGGCCGCUUACACACGUGCACCAUGCAGCACACACCUGUGUCUGCACCACAAACCUGUCACGCACACAGCUGCGCACGACAUCCAUCCUCUGUACGUACACACACCCUGCAGUUGUGCCUAUCACACACACACCUAGCAGCCUGACACACUCACACAGGCCUGUAUGUCACACCAUAACACAUCUGGACACACCUGUACAUCACAGGCAAUCUGUAACACACUCACACACACAUGCACAUCAGCACACAGGUAUGCACCACCGGUGUCGCAAACUGAUGCACACCUGUGAACGUGCGCACCAACACACCCUGCGCAGCGAAAUGCACACACAGGUACACACCACGCACGUUGCACACCAACACACAUGCAUGCACUGUGCAUGCUGCACGUCCACACACAAGGACACACCGUGCACGUUGCACACCUGCACACACAUGCACCACGCACAUUGCACACCAAAACACGUGUGCACCACACAUGUUGCACGUCGAUGCACAAGGACACACCGUGCAUGUUGCACACCCGCACACGCGUGCACCAUGCACAUUGCACACCGAAACACAUGUGCACCACACGCAUUGCACAUUGAUGCACAAGAACACACCAGGCAUGUCGCAAACCCGCACACGCGUGCACCAUGCACACUGCACGCCGAAACACGUGUGCACCACACGCAUUGCACAUCGAUGCACAAGGAUACACUGUGCGCACGCCCCCCCUUGCACACGCGCGUGCACACGGCGCCCCCCGCCCGCAGCCCCCGGCACCAGCGCCGAGCUGUGCCCACGAUUGCCGGGCCG
rnacentral:lncRNA from 1 species